rnacentral:tRNA from 1 species
GCCUGAGUGGCUCAGUCGGUUGAGCGUCCGACUUCGGCUCAGGUCAAGAUCUCAUGAUUCGUGGGUUCGAGCUCCACAUCAGGCU